CCUGUUGUUUAAAUACUUUCUGGUGUAAUGU
rnacentral:piRNA from 1 species